rnacentral:rRNA from 1 species
UGGGGGAUAUUGCGCAAUGGGGGAAACCCUGACGCAGCAACGCCGCGUGAAGGACGAAGGUCUUCGGAUCGUAAACUUUUGUCUUUGGGGAAGAAAAAAAUGACGGUACCCAAGGAGGAAGCCACGGCUAACUACGUGCCAGCAGCCGCGGUAAUACGUAGGUGGCAAGCGUUGUCCGGAAUUACUGGGUGUAAAGGGCGUGUAGGCGGGAUCUAAAGUCAGAUGUGAAAUACCGGGGCUCAACUCCGGGGCUGCAUUUGAAACUUGGAUUCUUGAGUGCAGGAGAGGAAAGCGGAAUUCCUAGUGUAGCGGUGAAAUGCGUAGAUAUUAGGAGGAACACCAGUGGCGAAGGCGGCUUUCUGGACUGUAACUGACGCUGAGGCGCGAAAGCGUGGGGAGCAAACAGG